CGGCGGACCCUCCCCUGUGAUUCCAUUAGCGCAAUUUCCUGAGCUCUCAGAAGUGGAGAGGGCCUCAGAAGGUGGCUUUUGAGCGUUAGAGAUGGUUGAGAUUGAGAGGAACGAAUAGUAGAACGAAUAGUAGUCGCAGACGGGCGGCCUGGGCUGAGUAGCUGGUCUGGCCGCGUCCUGACGGCCCCGAGGCGGGGUGGCUGACGCGGGGCGGAGCGGGGCCGCGUCUCCGUGGGCCCGCCCGCCGUGGACUUCGGGGUUGUCACAGGAUGCCUCCUGUGUGUUUUGGUAGCUCGGAAUGAUUGCACACUAAUCACGUUGGGACUAAAGGCCGUGUUUUCCCCUUACUAGGAAUGGAAGAAGGGAGGGGAGCGUUGGUUAACCAUGAGUUGGCUGAAUUCAGGGUACCCUUUGAAAUUAGGUGUUUAGGUAAAGAUACAUGAAGCAUCUGAAAGUAAUUUUGCUUUUUCUCGUGGUAUGGUCAUGUUGGUCUUAUAGCACUUUAGGAAAAACAUUUUACAUACUCUGCAUUUGACGUGCUAAAUCAAAUUGCUAACCAACUUUUCCAUACCCAGAAAACUGGUAAUGUAUGCCUUUACUUGAUGAAAUGAUAGGUGUCUGGCCAGCCAGGCGGGGCUGAAAGUCUGAGGGGCCUGACUAAUGGGAGUUAAUUUACAGUUAAGUCAACAUUCAAAAGUCAUUACUUCCGUGCCAGUGACUGCUUACAGGGUUGCAUGGUUUGGGGUUGUUUCAAUGUCCAUUUCUUGGAAGAGUGAGUCGUCUGGCAUGUUACAGAGUACUCUGCAUAGAGAGGCUUCUGAAGAUUGCAUGGCAGUAACAUAGGAUGGCCUCUUUCUUCAGACAUGCGAUGUGGUAAACUGUGCCGCCUCCUUGUCCUUGGGGUUUGGAAUUAUUACCAAAAAGAAGCUAAAUACUUUGUAAUUAACUAUGCGUGUCCCAAGUUCGAAUUCUGAGUAUAGUUUGAUUUUGAGAACUGAAAUAAGGAGAUCUUGGAUAACGGGAAGAAAUCAAAGCAGGUUCCUUGUGGAGCUAAAUUUCCGUGUGUGUGUGUGUGUGUGUGUGUGUGUGUGUGUGUGUGUGUGGACUGUGGUGGCAGUGUGCUCACUGCUUUCAUGUACCUGAUCUCAUUCGAUCCCAGACGGGAGAGCUCUAACCACACUAGUGCCAUUGAAACAGUCCCUUCCUUAGAUCGGAAUGAGCUGUGAGGUGUCAGUUUUGCCUAAGCCCAAACCUAGUUGCCUGAAGUCCUUAUCAAAAUAAUUGUAUAGCUAGGGCAUUCGUGGGAUUGAUUACUUGUUAGUGCCUCUUGGUUUGAAAAGAAAACAUUUAGUGGCAGCCAGCAUGUUUCUGGAAACCAAAUAUUUGGGGGUUAUGGGUUUAUCUCGUAUGCCAUCUUCCUUUAAUUUCCCAGGGAAUAACAGUGAUCUGUGAUGGUGCCGUCUUUUAAGUGGAACAGCAGCGAGGGAAUCUAGUAGUUGUAUAACAGUAGUUUUAGACUUGAAAAGGUCCUUAAACAUCUGCUUUUUAAAAAAUUGAUAUAAUUCACACCACACAAAGUUCUGUGGUUUGUACGAUAUUCACCAGGUUGUGCAGUCAUCAGUACUAUCUACUUCCAGAACAUUUUCAUCACCCCAAAAGGAAACCCCAUACCUGAUAGCAGUCACUCCCCGUGUCCCUCACUCCACAACCCCUGGCAACCACUAAUCUAUUUUUUGUGUCUCUGGAUUUGCCUAAUCUGGAUGUUUCAUUUAAAUAGAGUUAUACAAUACGUGGCCUUUUGUGUCUAGCUUUGCCUUUUUUCGGGGUUCAUGCAUGCUGUAGAAUAUUUCUCAUUCCUUUAUAUGGCUGAGUAAUAUUCCCUGUGUAGAUAACACAGCAGGGCCUACGUAUUUUUGCACAUGUGGAAAUGAGACUUAGUUUAAGGCUGAACACGUUUCAGUCUUUAAUCACAGUUCACCUUUGUCUUGAAUAUUCUUAAUCUGUUGUUUUAAGGCCCGUGCUUGUUUUUGUUUUUUUCCCUGGCAUAUAACUAAUGAGCAUGUAAAUGCUGCCAGAUGUAGGGCAUGGUAUUCCGUAUUUUUUCCCUAGGUAUUCCUUACUGUUGUGUAGCAGCAGCGUCCUACUUCAUAGAGCUUAUUGUAAACUAAAUCACUGGAUCGAGUAAGGAAGCUAAUAAUAAAAGCUGCAUGUAAAACAUUUAGUUUUGAGAGAAACCUAGAAGGCUUUAAAAAUCUUGAGGUUUCAGGUAGUUAGAAAUUGUGACCUUCACUAAAGGCUGUUGAUACUUUAAUUAUCUUCUGUUAGACGUGAUAUGGAAGUGCCUAGAGUAAAGCCUCUGAGACCAGAAAACCAUUGAGAUUAGAACCAGUAAAUUGAAAGAAAAUCGAAAAGUAUUACGUUUUUUCUCAGUUUUGUAUAUUCAGAAAGUUCAGAUUUACCAAGAAUUACUAGUCCUGACCAUUUGCCAUUCCUCUGGGUUUUCCACAUGCUCCAUUUUUACCAUGCUUUUUAUCACUUAAGUAGAAAUGCCAUAAAUGUGAAUUCCCGUAGAGUCAAGAAGCCAUCCCAAGUCAUCACGUCAACCCCGUGACCCACGCAGGGCAGCCUGAGUCCUGGCUCCCCGCUCCUGCCCUGGUAGCUCGGGAAGCCUGGCUUACUGAGAAAGCCUCUGUGCCCUUCCUUCUCCCUCCCGCAGCGGCAGCUGCCUCUCCCUAGUGGGAAGAGAAAAACCCGUCAGGAAAAGGUCAGGGCUCCUGACCCACCUAUAACUAGCAUUUUAGGCUUUUGGAAGAGAAUAAUAAUUUUUAAAAAGUAUCCCAGACUCUUGGGGUGGAUAUUUACAAAACGCCUUUCUAUUUGUUUUGUUUUUGAAGUCUGCUUAGUAAGGUUGGUUUGUUUUAAGGCUGGGGAAUUUAAGGCUUAUAACAGGUUAUUAGCAAAAACAGUUAUUAGAAUGAACGUUUAAGAUCUGCAGUCUUUUGUUAACUCCUGAUCUGCUCUUACUAGGUGACCAUUUUAUAAACUCUGCUCUUACUACUUCCCAUAGGAAGAGUAUGCAAAAGUGAAAACUUUGUAUACUUUUAAAAUCUGUAUGUUUACCAGUGAGUUGUAGUCUAUAGUAUUAUUGGAUGAACGAUCAAACUUCGUAUUUUUAAAAUUUGGCAUCUGAAACACUACCUGGAUGUUGAAAAUAAUAUUAAUUGCAUUACUGUUAGCAGGAUAUUAGGAAUACGUGGGGAAGUCUUGAAAGUUAGUGGACUCUAUUGUAUGUCUGUGCCUUCCUCCGUAUAGUGGACUUUAGUUACGGAACCCAAGAGCAACCUAAGUUUCUUGUGUUAGGUCCCAUUCUGCUUAACUUUAUGAUUAAUUAUCAAUAACAGCAAGCCCAGUGGUUUCUGGGAAUCAUUAGUAACGCAUCACAUUUCUUCUUUUGAGGGCACUUCUUCGACCUUGGCAUAACCUAACUCCUGACCUUGGGAUCUUUGUAAAAUGACUUGGUGGAAUAGGGGGAAUCCCUGAAAGCAUUUUCAGUUCCUUUAUAGCAAAGAAUUUCUGCUCCUUUCUGAAUUUCUACGUGACAGUAGGAAGCCAUAUCUUCAAUUUCUUUAAGCAGAACUAUCCAAUUUUAAUGUGACCACACGAAUGAGAUACUAGGAAUUCUCGAGUAAGAUUCUUAAUACCAUUCAGUAACUUUAGUCUUACACAGUGGUUUCAGAUACGAUUAAACAUUAAAACAACGUAGGUGGCACAAUGGUUAAGUUCGCACGUUCCACUUCUUGGCAGCCCAGGGUUCACCGGUUUGGAUCCUGGGUGCGGACAUGGCACUGCUUGGCACGCCAUGCUGUGGUAGGCGUCCCACAUAUAAUGUAGAGGAAGAUGAGCACGGAUGUUAGCUCAGGGCCAGUCUUCCUCAGCAAGAAGAGGAGGAUUGGCAGUAGUUAGCUCAGGGUUAAUCUUCCAAAAAAACAAAACUAAACGCAAAACAAUGUGAAUGGUUGUGAUGGACUCUUUUUUCUUGCGUAAAUUCUUCCCUUCAAAUGUGAGACCUGCGAGUAGGGAAGAGGCUGCCAUUGCAGUGCUAGAAGCUGUUCACUCUUGGAGUCUAGGCGCUGUCUCUUGUGGGAGAGGCAGAACUUCAAAAUGUUUCAGAGAUCACACCCGAAAACGCCCUGAAGGGUCUUUCUCUUUGUGCUUUUCUCCACUCGACCUUUACUUCUUUUCCUUUUGUGUCUUCUAGCUUCUAAGUACUCAGAAAACUUGGGAGAAAAGCUGCUGCCAUUACUCCAAGUUGACGAUUGGUUUUUAAUUUACUUUGUUGAUAACUCACUGAUUAUUUGUAGUAAUACAUAUGGCUCCUAUAUUAAGUAAAUUUUUAUAGAUUCUUAGCAAGGACUAAAUACACACCUCUGGAUUUCACCUCUGGGGAUCUGGUCACACGCAAUCUGUUCCUUUCUUUAUUUUCUACGAUUUAAAUCAAAUGCCUUCACUUUCCUGCUUAAAAACCUCUCAAAUACAACAGUGUGAAUAUACUGAAUGCCACUGAGCUGUAGACUUAACAGUGGUAUAUCUUAUAUUUUGUGUGUGUUAAUACACACAGACAUGUUCUGCAGACAUCCCGUGACAUUUAGUAAAAUCUAAACUCCUUGUCAUUCGCAGGGCCGUCCCUGGUUUGGCCCCUGCUUUUCCUUCCAACGUCCUCCCUCUGCUCCCUUUGUGCUCCAACCUUGCUGGCCUCAUUUCAGAUCCUUGAACUUAUUUCUUUGCAGUGCUCUUACCUCUGCUGCCAGAGCUCUGGCCCCAGAUGUUUGCCUUCUUAGUGCCACCUUGUUUUUCUAGUCUCAGCUCUAAGAGGCCUUCCCUGUUCGUUCAUUCAAGUUAGCAGGCCCUCCCAAUUACUCUCUCAUAACCCUAUUUUAUUUUCUUUGUAGCAGUGUCUGAAAUUGUCUUCUUUUUUUCCUUGUAACUUGCUGCUUGUCCGUCUACUUUCUCUAGAUUGUAAGUCCUGGGCUGUCACCCUGCAGCCUUAGGAUGGCACUAGGCACGUAGAUUGUCAGUAAAUCACUGAGUGAGUGAGUGCUUGGAGGUUGUGCUGUAAGGCAGGGUUGGGCCUGUAGACCAGAAGACAGUUCUCAUCUCUGAGUGCCGAGGUGGAAAAGCAGGAGUGAGGGUGGGGAGAGGGGGGAAGCGUCCCCUUUUAGAAAAGGCGUGGACUUGAGGCAAUCCUAGGUUGAAAUCCUAGAUCUGCCACUUACUGCGCUUGUUGACAUACAUGAUUGGCAUUUCUUUUUUUUUUUGACUUGGCAUUUCUGAGGCUUGAUUUCUUCAACCAAAAACAUGAGGUUAAUAUCUUAAAGGUGUUGUUUAAAUUGAGUAAGUUAAAGAAAGUGACAAUUGCUGGCAUGAAACAGAUACUCAGUAAGUGAUAGUACCCCCUUCUUAAGGUCUCUCGGUGGGGAAGAGUGGAAACAGCCUAUGUCUGGCUUUUGCCUGUUUCUUAGUAAUGAAUCUCAAAUGUUUAGCCCUCCCCCAUUUUGGUGAAGGUUUCGCUGAUGGCACUGGUGAGUUGAUAAUGUCAUUUUUACCAAAAGUCACCUAGAAUGAUGAGACCAAAGUUAAUAGCCUAAGAUGGAAGGUGUAGAGAAACAAAAUCGAGCCACCCCAUAAAUAAGUAAAAUUGGUGAAAAUAGAAAAUCAGGAUCACAGGAAAAAGGAAGCAUUAGGGUCAACCUAAUGAGCUUCCUGGCAAUCAAGAUAAAAAGGAAACCAUCCUACCCUUAACUGAUUCCAAGAUGGGAAAACCUUCUGAGGAAAUCAAGCCUUUGUUAGGAGUGAAUUCUAAAAUAAACUUAUGUGAAGGGAACCACUGAUGUUAGUAAUGCACAGAUUCCAACCAAUAUAGUGUCUUAGAGCAGCCAGAGGCUUAACAUGGAACCUAACUGAAGAUGAUUCAUAGUUUUUUGUGUUCUUUCCAUGCUUACUAUAGUUUUUAAAAAGUUCAGCGUUGUUUAAAAACCGUUAAGUGUAGGCUCUCCUGUUCCCCUUAAACCCAGGAGGGGAGGGGAAAGUGGAACAAAGGUGUUUUUUGCACACUCCACUCUGUUUUCCACACAGUGCGAUUUAACAUUUAACAUGUUGCCUUGUUUCAGCCUUAUAGGGUAGGUGCUCUUCUCUUUAUUUAACAAAUGAGGACACCAAGCAAGGUUCAGUGAAUGAAAGGCCUCUUGAAGGAAAGAAAUCUUGAUCUGGGUUUUGGAGAGCACACCAGACUCAGAUGGCGGAUGAGAGGCAGGCAAGAGGGAAAGUUGUGCUUAUCAUGCACCUUUGACUGUACAUUGACCAGCACGUGAGAAAACCAGUUUGGUUGGGGCGUGGAGGGCAGGCCACGCAGUCUAUGGUAUUUGGUUGUAGCAGCCUGCACUCAGACACCUUCCCUGCUGGAAUGUAAG